UCUAUCAUAUUAGGAUGUAACAUAAUAGUGCCAGUUUUAAGCGGGAAACAUACCAAGAAGAAACAUGAACAAUUCAUCCAGAAGUUAUUAGAUUUCUUCCAGCCUUCACUUCUUCCAUGAAGUUCGGUGAUUUCUAUGUAAUGAUGGCUUCACGAUGACUUUCUGUAGGCCGCGAUAAUAUCGAUAACAGCGUUCUUCGCAUCUAAUCAUAAUAAAAGUCUUUAUCGUAUAGGAAAAGCUUUAAUCAGGUGGAAGAUAUCGUCAUGUUUGGUCGUGUUAUUUUUAGCUGGUUUACUUCGUGUUUCUAAGGUAAAUAUUAAUAACAUAGUAGCUUUCAUCGUGGAAUUAACAUUUUAUUGUGUCGAAAUCCCAGCAUUCUCA